rnacentral:rRNA from 1 species
UGGGGAAUUUUCCGCAAUGGGCGAAAGCCUGACGGAGCAAUACCGCGUGAGGGAGGAAGGCUCUUGGGUCGUAAACCUCUUUUCUUAGGGAAGAACACUGACGGUACCUAAGGAAUAAGCAUCGGCUAACUCCGUGCCAGCAGCCGCGGUAAUACGGAGGAUGCAAGCGUUAUCCGGAAUGAUUGGGCGUAAAGCGUCCGUAGGUGGUUUGUCAAGUCUGCCGUUAAAGGUUGGAGCUUAACUCCAUUAAAGCGGUGGAAACUGAGAGACUAGAGUGAGGUAGGGGUAGAGGGAAUUCCUGGUGUAGCGGUGAAAUGCGUAGAGAUCAGGAAGAACACCGGUGGCGAAAGCGCUCUACUGGACCUAAACUGACACUGAGGGACGAAAGCUAGGGGAGCGA